rnacentral:rRNA from 1 species
UAAUACGUAGGGUGCGAGCGUUAAUCGGAAUUACUGGGCGUAAAGCGUGCGCAGGCGGUUUUGUAAGACAGAUGUGAAAUCCCCGGGCUUAACCUGGGAACUGCAUUUGUGACUGCAAGGCUAGAGUACGGCAGAGGGGGGUAGAAUUCCACGUGUAGCAGUGAAAUGCGUAGAUAUGUGGAGGAAUACCGAUGGCGAAGGCAGCCCCCCUGGGUCGAUACUGACGCUCAUGCACGAAAGCGUGGGGAGCAAACAGGAUUAGAUACCCUGGUAGUCCACGCCCUAAACGAUGUCAACUAGGUGUUGGGGGAGGAGACUUCCUUAGUACCGCAGCUAACGCGUGAAGUUGACCGCCUGGGGAGUACGGUCGCAAGAUUAAAACUCAAAGGAAUUGACGGGGACCCGCACAAGCGGUGGAUUAUGUGGAUUAAUUCGAUGCAACGCGAAAAACCUUACCUACCCUUGACAUGCCAGGAACUUGCCAGAGAUGGCUUGGUGCCCGAAAGGGAACCUGGACAC